ACUCUCUCACACUCACAAGGCCUGUCAAUGCCUCACAGAAAAGAACAAGGGGGCCAGGCUUGCAGAUAAAGGAGGUGUGACUGCCCACAAAGGGGCGGGGCUAUGCAGAAGGGGGUGUGGUCAGGCUGUAAACUCAUGGAGGAACGAAGAGGCGGAGCCUGCGGCGUGUUCCAAGUGCAUAGGGAAGGCGUGGCUAAGCGCCACAGGAGUGAACCUCACCGUGCUUCUCUCAGUGGAAAGGCAUGCUGGGAUACGUGCGGUGGAGUUACAGCCCCCCCCC